AUGCCGACGGCCCAUCCUUCGAGCCUACUCUGGAGGCCCCAGAUCGUGUUCCCCCCGGGCGCCUCUCCUUGCAGUCCGACCUCGACUACUUCCGUGUCCUCGGGUGCCGCCACGGCCUUGGUGUUAAUCCUCGACACGACGAGGUUCCAGUUGCUGGUAUGGGACCCCGUCACCGGCCACCAGCACCGCGUAUCCAUUCCCACGGGAUUCGAUCGGUUCAGGUCAGUGAUCUGCGGGGCGGUGCUCCGCGCUGCUCCCGGGGACGUCCACUUCCAGAUCGUCUUGGUAACAGACGACCACGAGAUGGAAGAAUGGCGAGCGCUGGCCUGCGUUUACUCUUCCAAGACCGAGGCGUGGGGCAAUCUCAUCCCAACACCGAUUCCAUCCGGGACCUUGGUUUCUAUUGAUGUGUUGGGUGUGCUGGUUGGGCAUUCCAUUUACUCGAUGCUUUAUGGUACUUCGUCAAAUAUCCUUCAGUUUGAUUUGGAGGGGGAGAGCCUGGCCGUGAUACCGGUGCCAGUGAAUAUGUCUGAUUUUGAUGGCUUCACACUCAUGCGGGCAGAGGAUGGUGAGCUGAGUUUACUCUCCUUGUCAGGCUUCACCGCCCAAUUAUGGAAGAGGAACACCAUCACAGAUGGUGUUCCAUCGUGGGGGAUAGUAAGAACUGUUGAAUUGGACAAGCUACUAUCCUUGGAUUCAGAGGGGUAUGUAACCACACAUGGCUUUGCUGAGGAUAAUAAUUUGGUGAUCCUGCGGGUCAAUAUCAACAUCAUCUCCACUGUCCAGAUUGAGUCACUACAGUUCAAGAAAGUUUCCGACAACAGCAAAUGGUACUAUUAUCCAUUUGAAAGUGUCUAUGCUGCAGGUAUCUAG
rnacentral:rRNA from 1 species